CCGAAAACCACGAGGAAGAGACGUAGUGUUCUUUCCUGAGCGUGAAGCCGGCAUUUGGUGUUGCUUUACUGCAACCGCCGUUUGCCAUUGAUGAUCGUUCUUCUCUCCUUUUUUGGGGAGUAAGAGGGAAAGAACACGGUCUGAGUGG
rnacentral:snoRNA from 1 species